GACGAACGCUGGCGGCGUGCUUAACACAUGCAAGUCGAACGGAAAGGCCCCUUUGGGGGUACUCGAGUGGCGAACGGUGGAGUAACACGUGGGUAACCUGCCCUUGACUUCUUGAUAACUUCAGGAAACUGGGGCUAAUACCGGAUAGGAAUCCUUGCUGCAUGGGGGGGGUUGGAAAGCUUCUGUGGGUUUGGAUGGACUCGCGGCUUAUCAGCUUGUUGGUGGGGUAGUGGCUUACCAAGGCUUUGACGGGUAGCCGGCCUGAGAGGGCGACAGGCCACACUGGGACUGAGAUACGGCCCAGACUCCUACGGGAGGCAGAAGUGGGGAAUAUUGCACAAUGGGCGGAAGCCUGAUGCAGCAACGCCGCGGGCGGGAGGACGGCCUUCGGGUUGUAAAACGCUUUCAGCAGGGGCGAAGCUUGUGGUGACGGUACCUGCAGAAGAAGCACCGGCUAACUACGUG
rnacentral:rRNA from 1 species